ACAUAAUCACUAUGAAAUGCGACUCCAACUGUCCUGAAACCACUUUCAAGCUCAGAAAUCCUUAACAGUGUGGCCCUGUGGAAGAGAAUUUGGCAAGGUGUAUUUGCCUAUUUGUGUAUGUGUCAUGUAUGUACAGGUGCCUGUCUUGACUUGUAGCCUGCAAAAUUGAUGUGAGAGUUUUUGGCACCAGUUUGUGAACCUAAACUGCCCCAGUUCCUGGCCAUCUCUACCUCUCCUGUGCUCCCUUGUACUUAAGGUAAGUUACACAGAGUGUGUUGACAAAAGAGCAGGACUUAUUGCCUAAUUUUUUCUAGGAGCCUGUCCAGUGUUCAAGGGCAUUCAAAUGUUCCAUCCAGAGUCCAUGCAGUGGGCUAAAACUACGUUUGUGGCAUAUGUUUGUUAAACUGUUGUGAAUUUGGGAGGGAUGGUGAGCACUGGAAAACUGAGUCAGGUUUAAAAGUUAUCUUGAGGAUAAUGAUGGAGUGACUGUUCAGCAACAGCUCUGCCAGAAAUGAUCUGCAGGUCACCUCACAUCAUCCUGUUCCUCUCACCAAGCUGUGGUGAUGCCUUUUCCUCACUGAAGUGACAGCUGUGUGGCUCCCUGACUUCUAGGUGAAUUGGCUGGUCCUGCAGACUUAUCUGGUUACUAAAUAAAAAGCCAUUUAAAGAUU